UACGGAGGGGGCUAGCGUUGUUCGGAAAUACUGGGCGUAAAGCGAACGUAGGCGGCCUAGCAAGUCAGAGGUGAAAUCCCAGGGCUCAACCCUGGAACUGCCUUUGAAACUGCUAAGCUAGAAUCCUGGAGAGGUCAGUGGAAUUCCGAGUGUAGAGGUGAAAGUCGUAGAUAUUCGGAAGAACACCAGUGGCGAAGGCGACUGACUGGACAGGUAUUGACGCUGAGGUUCGAAAGCGUGGGGAGCAAACAGG
rnacentral:rRNA from 1 species